UCAUCCCAUGUGGUUGCCUUCCUGGAAAUGUGGCUUCUUCUGGAGUAUGUUUCGUGCUGCAACAUCCCAUGACCAUCUCCCUGCAGCGGGACCUGCCUUUGUAUGCUGAAGGUGCAGCGACAAGAUUGCUGCUCAACAUCACUGCCUCCUUCUUUGUCCUGCCCACACAAUGGGAGGUUGCACCCAGAAGCCCCAGCAAUGAUGUAGCUACCUUGAGCGGGGAAGCUCCCAUUUCUGGAUGGAACAGAUGGGAGGAGAGGAGGACCUGCAAGGGCUCAUGGAGGAGGGACCCUCGUGCAGACACUUCAAUCCAUGGACUUGACGAGCCUAAAGCGUUUUCCUCCUGGACAGCCAGAAAGAUUUGCUGCAUUCCUGGACAAAGUGACUGGGGUUUGAAUAAAUGGACUACAACAGAAAGCU